rnacentral:rRNA from 1 species
GAUGAACGCUGGCGGCGUGCCUAAUACAUGCAAGUCGAGCGAACAGACGAGGAGCUUGCUCCUCUGACGUUAGCGGCGGACGGGUGAGUAACACGUGGAUAACCUACCUAUAAGACUGGGAUAACUUCGGGAAACCGGAGCUAAUACCGGAUAAUAUAUUGAACCGCAUGGUUCAAUAGUGAAAGACGGUUUUGCUGUCACUUAUAGAUGGAUCCGCGCCGCAUUAGCUAGUUGGUAAGGUAACGGCUUACCAAGGCAACGAUGCGUAGCCGACCUGAGAGGGUGAUCGGCCACACUGGAACUGAGACACGGUCCAGACUCCUACGGGAGGCAGCAGUAGGGAAUCUUCCGCAAUGGGCGAAAGCCUGACGGAGCAACGCCGCGUGAGUGAUGAAGGUCUUCGGAUCGUAAAACUCUAUUAUUAGGGAAGAACAAAUGUGUAAGUAACUAUGCACGUCUUGUCGGUACCUAAUCAGAAAGCCACGGCUAACUACGUG